AGCAGGUCCCAAGGGUCCGGCUGUUCGCCGGUUAAAGCGGUACGCGAGCUGGGUUCAGACCGUCGUGAGACAGGUCGGUCUCUAUCCGUCGUGGGCGCCUGGAGAUUUGAGGAGAGCUCUCCUUAGUACGAGAGGACCGGGAGGGACAGACCUCUGGUGUGCCAGUUGUUCUGCCAAGGGCACGGCUGGGUAGCUACGUCUGGCAGGGAUAAGCGCUGAAAGCAUCUAAGUGCGAAGCCCACUCCAAGAUAAGAUCUCCCAUCUCUCCCCGCAAGGGGAGGGGGUAAGACCGCAGGUAGACUACCUGUUUGAUAGGCGGCGUGUGUAAGAGCAGUAAUGUUUUUAGCUAAGCCGUACUAAUGGUCGAGGGCUUGGCCUG
rnacentral:rRNA from 1 species